rnacentral:lncRNA from 1 species
AUUCUACAUUUAUUAUUUGUUGGCACGUACAAAGGGACAUGCUAUCUGAAUUCUAACAAAGUAACCAUCACAUCCUUUCUAUAGUAAUGUCAAAGCGGUAUUUAAGGAGUCGUAAUGAUUUUGAAAAAAAGAUGAUUUUUGGUAUGUUUCUUCGACCCACCGCACAAUGCCAAGUGGAAUGCUUAUAGCACCGAAUGGCGAGAGUUAGAGGAUC